GGCAUAUGGAGGUUCCCAGGCUAGGGGUCUAAUAGGAGCUGUAGCCGCUGGCCUACGCCACAGCCACAGCCACAUGGGAUCCGAGCUGUGUCUGCAACCUACACCACAGCUCACGGCAACGCUGGAUCCUUCACCCACUGAGCAAGGCCAGGGAUCGAACCCGCAACCUCAUGGUUCCUAGUCGGAUUCGUUAACCACUGAGCCACGAUGGCAACUCCUAAAAGAGACUAACUUGAAGAGAAAUUAGGCCACGGUCAUUUAGCUAAGCCAUGUAUGGAAAAAAAUACAGAUUUUAUAUAUAAACCGUAUACUCUGAGUCUAUUUUAUCAUUUCAAAAUAUAAUUUAUGAUGGUUUUUUUUUUCUUUUUUAGUGACGCAUCUGCACCUGCAACAUAUGGAGGUUCUGCAUAUGGCUAGGGAUCGAAUCAGAGCUGCAGCUGCCAGCCUACGCCACAGCCAUAGCAACACCAGAUACAAGCCACAUCUGUGACCUACACCACAGCUCAUGGCAGUGCCAGAUCCUUAACCCACUGAGCAAGGCUGCAUCCUCAUGGAUACUAGUCUGGUUGGUAACUUGCUGAGCCACAACAGAAACUCCCUAUAGUUAUUUUAAAAGUAAGUUAAAACAGAAUCUCCUACUACAUGCCCAAAGGAUUCAAUUGCCCUUCCAGUAAUCCAAGAGAUACCCGCAACAUGAUAUUGGAGACUGAAUGUUCCAAGUGUCAUUGAUAGGAAAACCAUCUCAAGUAGAACACUCAACAGAAAGUUUGCCACUAAUAUGACUCUGAGUCCAGACUUCCCUGUAAAAAUGUUUUUUUUCUCCUGGGUUUAGGACUUAAGUCAUCUCUUCUUUCAGAAUUGGGGUUUUAGGAAAAUUACAUUUAGGAAUGCGUAUUUAAACAUUUAUGUAACAGUUUGUGAACCGAGUAGGCAGAGAAAUGUCAUCUGUGAAUAUAGAACUGUAGAGAGUGGGCAGCUGUGCAGUGGUCUGGUGAGAACAUACCGAUGAGCACUGCCCUGGAGAAUCACCCCAGAGUGAAGUCAGCCUCUCCUUUGUGAUCCAAUAAGUGUUUCAGUUAAUACCAUCCAACUGGCCUACUAGGACCAGUGAACUGCCCAAACAAUAUCAGGCUGUCUGGGUUUAGGGGUUCUUUUGUUAUUCUUUCCUUGGCACUGGUGGGUUCUGUUACAUAUCACAUUCUCUGAUUUUUACAGUUUGGUCCCUGAAUAUUUAGAGUGUAAGGCACGUUAGAGAUGAAGAUUGAAAUUAUCACUAUAAGAGUUCCCUUGUGGCUCAGCAGAUUAAGGAUCAAUGCCAGCAUGGUGACUGCAGUGGCUCUGGUUUACAGCUGUGGCAUGGGUUCAAUCAGUCCCUGGUCCAGGAACUUCAGCAUGCCUCGGGCACAGCCAAGAAAUAAAAAUAAAAAAUAAAAUUAUCACUGUGUACACAGAUCUCUAGAACUCUUUAUCCAAAGCCCAGAGAUGAGUAGUGUUUUGAGUCUAUAGUAGGGGAAAUACAGCUCCAGCUGUCUUAGGCUUUCUCUGACUUUGGAAGUGUAUUAUCAGUUACAUGAGUGGGAGGGAAGCUUUUAAUGCACCACUGUUAGUAGUUGUUGGGAAAUCACCAGUUGAUAAAUGUAAAUGAUGGUUUCUCUGCCCUAGGAGUAGUGUUAAAAUUCUCAUCUCUCAACUCCCUUCACAAGAAAACAAAUCUUAUUGCAUAUCUGUUUAGUUUGUUUGUGUGUUUGUUUUGGGGGGGAGGGAUUUUUUUAGGGCAUAUGGGAGUACCCAGGCUAGGGCUCGAAUCAGAGCUGUAGCCGCUGGCUUACACCACAGGCACAGCAAUGCAGGAUCUGAGCAUGUCUACAACCUACACUACAGCUCACAGCAAUGCUGGAUCCUUAACCCACUGAGCAAGGCCAGGGAUCGAACCCAUGGAUACUAGUCAGGCUCAUUUCCACUGAGCCAUAAUGGAAACUCUGCAUAUCUUUUUAACUGAAGCCUUUCUCCAGCAAAGCUUGUCCACUUGGUUUCAAUCAUUGGUCACAAUGAGUUUCAGCACACUUUAGUAUACUUCCUGUAUUCUUUAGGAAAAAGGAUGAGUCCUGCCAUGUGUGGUGUAGUUGGGCUUACAGAGAUGGAGCAUGUGUAGAUGUUGCCCUCAGAGAGCAUUCAUUCUGGGGAAGAAAAGACACAUGUGUCAAAGACUCUGAUCAGGUUGGACUGAGGAAAGUCCAAGAGGUGCUGAGCACGGAUUACUGAAGCUGAGCCAUAGGAAGUGGCUUCAGCUCAUCCACACAGGGUUUAAAGGAAGGUGGUCUUUAGACUUUGGGGAUGUAAGAGGAAGACUGUUUUCAUCAGAAGAAACACGGAAUGGGCAGAGUGGGUAUGUUUAGGGGGAAUUGCAGGGGUUUCUGUUUGGUAGAAGAUUUCAGGUAGUCUAUCAUGGAAGAUAGAGUUGAAAGGUUGUUUGAAGUUAGAUCAUGGAGGGCUUGUAAUACCAGGGUAGGAACUGGGGCUUUAGUCUCUCUUUCCUUAGUUUCAAAUAUUAACUCAAGUGUUUUAGCUUAGGUCUGAUUAUUAAGUAUGAUUAUUCAUAAAGAGUAAAGUGACCCUUUUGGCAGUUUGUUGUGGAACAAAAAAUACUGUUACACAACUGCAAUAUGUGUGGUCUGGGUCAAAUGGCUUUUUUUUUUUUCUUUUGGGCUGAAAAUUUUCCACAGAGGCAGUGCCAAAUAUAUCUCAUAAUCCUGUCACUCUGAUGAAAGUCAGCUCUAUCACUACAUUGUGCAUUUAUUUUUCAGUGAUGUUAGGAUCUACAUUUCACAGCUUUUUUUAAAUUUAAUUUAAUUUUUUUUUGACCAAGUGGGUGGUGCUAAAAUACCCUAAUACCCUAUUUCUCUGGCAAACAAUCUGCUUUGUUUAAAAGCUGAGUCAUUAAGCUCCUUUAUCUUUCUUCUCAAUUUCCUACUUAGCAUUUUCCCUGCAUAUUGGGCACUUACUUUGUAAGCAAUGAGGAGGCUCAUUGAUUUAGUGCCCAGGAAAGAGCAACUCUGGUUUUUUGGGUUUUGUUUUGUUUUUUCUGUUCAAAGGACUUAUUUUAGUCUACCUGUGGUGUGCCUUAGAAAUAUGCUAAGCUGAGGUUUUUAGCUAUUGGAGGCAAAGGGAGAAAUAUCUGAAUUUUAUCAGAUAGGCUUGGAACACUUUUCAAUUGAUAAAAACAUUAGUGAAAGGGCCAUUAUUGUUAGCAUUCUUUGGCUAAUUAACUCAGUUGACUAAAGCUUGAGGUUUAUUGGCAAGGUCAAUUAGUUUUCUCUCUCAUUAGCUCUUGGAACCUCUAGUGCUGGCCACUGAAUUCAAUAAAUAAUUAUAAUAACAGCAAGCACAUACGUAAUUUUAAACACUGACGUACAAACUCAUUUAAUCUUCAAAAUAGUCCUGAAGGGUAGGUACUGUUACUCCUUCCAUCUUUACAGAUCAUGAAGUUGAGGCAUUGAGAAGCUAUGUAACUUGUCCAGGGGCCCAUUACUGGUAAUUGGCUGAGCCAGGAUUUGAACUUAGGCACUUAGAUUUAAGGGUCUUUACUCCUGAUCUCAUUAAAAUCCAAAGACACCAGUAAGGAGGUCCCUAGACUUGAGGAAACACAAUAUGUGUCUAAAUAUUGAAGGCUAUUUAUUCUGUGUCAUAUGAAGCUUUGAAUUUAAGAAAUUUCAGACCAGUGUUAUGAUAGACAUCAGAAAUCUAUUUAAUGUCUCUUUUGUUGCCCAUGCAUAGUUGCGGACAAGGCUUCACAGAGGUGACAUCUGAGACUUGAGCCAGGACUUAAAGGAUGCUCAAGUGCUCCACAGGCAGAGAAGAGCAUUGAAGAUAGAGGGAACAGAUGCAAAGGCUCAGAGAGGUGAAAUGGCAUUUGACAUGCAUAUUUGAAGGACAAUAUGAUGUUCCCUAUACCUAAAGGAGGACACGAGGAGAGAAAAGUAAGAUGCACUUGACGAUUGCAGAUUGUACCCUGCUGAGCAGUUUAAAAAUUGUCCUCUUAGUCACCUUUUUAAAAUCAAGGGCUCACAAAUUUUGGUAUCUAAUUUCAGAGGGUUCCCAGGUGCUCUAAAGCUCAACUGUAGGUCUGUAGACCCCUCUCCCUCAAGCAGCAGAGAAUAAUUGAGAAUAGAGAACACUACGAUCCAAUGUGUGUUUUAAGAAAGAUGACUCUGAUGACCCUGAGAGAUGGCCUGGAGGAGAGAAUGAUUGGAAACAGAGAAAUCAGGAGGCAGAUAUAAAUAAUCUAGGCCAGUGAUCGCUGAGAUGGCAAAAAGAGAGCAAUGACUAUGAAAGAUAUAUCGGAGAUAGGAGCGAGAGGACCCAGAGUGACUUAAAUGGGAAAGUUGCACAUAAAAUAAUUGAAACGAGGUGUCUUUUCUAAUUUAGUUUAAGGAUAGAUGGUGAUGUCAUUAACUAAGACAGAGGACGAAGAGAGGAGAGGAGCAAAGGUGGAGAGAUGAUGGCCUGAUUUUUAGAACCACAGAGCUUUGGGUGCCCAUGAACUCUUCCAGUGGUUGAAAAUGCAAUCUGGAAAAGAACUCAGCCUUGGAGAGAGAGAGAGAGAGAGAGAUUUGGCUGUCUCUGCAAAUGGGAGGUUUAAGCCCUCUGGGUGAGUCAGGGCCACCAGGGAGCCUAGAAGGAGAAGACAAGGGCAGAGGAGGCAUAUCCGGUAAAGCUGGAUGGGAAGGCGAGACUCAGGGGAGCAGCAGCGUUAUAGUGUUUGAGCGCUCUGUUCUGAACACUCUGCAUACAUUAACUGGCUUAAUCCUCAAGACCUCUGGAAGAGCUGCAUUUUACACAUGAGGAACCUGAGGCACAGAGAGGUCAGUCAUUUGCGCCAAGUCACAGAGCUGGUAAAAAUCACUUUCAAUGGUAAAUUAGUGGUAACCUCAUGAUAGUAUUAUGAGUCUUUGUUAUAACUCUUUUAUAGAUUUUGUUAUAACUCUUUUUGUUAUAAAUUUUAUAGAUUUAAAUAUAGAUUGGUAAGCUUUAAUGACAGUAGUUCCUUAUUCACUGAACGACCCCCCCCAUCAAGUAAGUAUAGUAUGCUUAUCAGAAUUCAUGAAGAAAAUAUGAUCUGAGACUUUCAUACAUUUCCAAAUUCCCUGGCUUUUUCUCGCAUGAGUAUUCUGUCAAGAUUCAUGCAUUUCUUCAACAUAUUUUCAUUUAAUAGGUUACAUUUUCCCUGACGUUUUCUCCCAACUAAUAAGCAUUUUUGGCAUUAAUUGGAGCACUUCCUGAAAUGGUUGCAUGAGUCAUAUUUUCGUAUUUCCUCUUGGAAUAUCUGUUGGAUUCUCUUAACAGUGAUCUAAGACAUCCCCAAACUCUAUAUUCUUGUUUUAAUUUACCCCAGACUUUUCUUGUCUCCUUGAAUCCAUCCAUUUCUUAGAACCUCUUCAUUUUGUUUUCCCUUUUAUCACUACACCAGCAGAGAUUUUCCUUGAAGCCCAUUUUCUCAGUUAUUUUGUUAUUACUUCAUCAGAGUUAUACACACCAAGGAGGAAAGAACAAUGAAACCACACCAGGUUGCCACAGUUGGGCUGUCUCUUAGGCUGGGGUCAGCAAACUACAGUCCAUGGGCCAAAUGGAAGCCACCACAUUUUUGUAAAGUUUUAUUGGGGCACAGACAGACUCAUUCAUUUACACAUUGUCUGUGGCUGCUUUCCUGCUAAAAGGGCAGAGUUGAGUAGUUGCAUUAAGUGGAAUACAGCAUGACCCACAUAACCUAAAAUGUUUACUGAUUUGACCCCUCACAAAGAAAGUGCUGACUCUUGCUUUAUAGCCUACAGCUUUGGGAAUAUUAGGAUAUUGCCAAAGCACAUUUAUAGUGCUUUAGUUAAGGAGGGUUUUUUUAAAAAGCAAAAUUUUAAAUAAAAUCUUACUCAACUGAAUAAUAGAACUGUUGAGUGGUUUCUGUAAUAUUUGUUCUUUGGAUCUAAACAGAAAUUGUCAAGGGAGGAGUUCCUGUCAUGGCUUGGUGGUUAACGAACUCAAGUAGUAUCCAUGAGGACAAGGGUUCAAUCCCUGGCCUCCCUCAGUGGGUUAAGGAUCGGCAUUGCCGUGAGCUGUGGUGUAGGUCACAGAUGCAGUUCGGAUCCUGUGUGGCUGUGACUGUGGUGUAGGCCAGCAGCUACAGCUCUGAUUCAACCCCUAGCCUGGGAACUUCCAUAUGCUGCGGGUUCAGCCCUAAAAAG
rnacentral:lncRNA from 1 species